rnacentral:rRNA from 1 species
GGGUCAGUAGGUUGGUCGUGCCACCGGUACGUACUGGUAUCACCGAUUCCUCCUUCCUGAAGAACCGUAAUGCCGUUAAUUUGGUGUUGCGGGGAAACAGGACUGUUACUUUGAAAAAAUUAGAGUGUUUAAAGCAAGCUAACGCUUGAAUACAUUAGCAUGGAAUAAUGAAAUAGGACGAUCGAUCCUAUUUUGUUGGUUUCUAGGAUUGACGUA